GCGCUGUUUCCAAGUCGAAGAAACGCCGACGAAACGCGCACCGAGGCCAGCGACGAUUUCAUGGCGGAUCCCGUGCUCCCUCCCCCCGCACUCCCUCCUCCCGCGCUCCCGCUUCCAGCUUGCGCGCCAAAUCCAUCCCAGCUCGCGCCAAAUCCACCGCCGCCCCUGCCCUUCAUCUUCCUCUCCUCCCAGAGCCGCCACCGCCCCUGCAGUUCGUUUCCUCCCAAGCCGCCGCGGCCCCUGCCCUCCCAGAUCCGCCGCAUCCCGUGCCAUCUGGGCGGGCGAGAUGUCCCGCAAGGGGGAGCUGCCCGGCGGCGGCACGGCAAUAUGCGGCGGCGGCGGCGGCCCCGUGAAGGCCCGUGGAGGUGGCACCGAGAAGGGCCGCAGUGGUGGCUUGGUGAAGGUCCGCGGCGCCAGCACAACGACAGGCGACGGCGGCGGCGGCGGCGGCGACACUUCGCCGGCUGCAGCUCCUCCGCCGGCUGCUGCUCCUCUGCCUGCUGCAUCUUCUCCGGCGGCACCUCCCCCAUGUUGGCCCGGAUAUGCAGCUUCACCGACGCCGCCCCCAAAUUGGCCUGGAUUUGCAGCUUCUACGGCGCCGCCCCCAAAUUCUUCCCCACAUGGAAACCAGUGCUCAAAUCCAUGGGGUGGUUAUUUGAAUAUGUUAAAGCAACCAUAUUUUCCACCUUUGCAACCUUUUGGUGAAAAUUCCCAUUAUGUUGGAGCUGCAAACACCUUCCAGCCACCAUCGCCUGCACACCUGAACCAUAUCCCAAUGAAAGGGCCAGCAUUGACCUUGAUGAAGAAGAUGGUGUUGAGGCAAGUAGGUCAGUAAAGAAAAGAUAUUGGUCACAUGAAGAGGAAGUGAAACUGGCAAGUGCUUGGUUGAAUACUUCUAAAGACCCUAUUCAUGGAAAUGAAAAGAAAAGUGGUUCAUUUUGGAGUCAAAUCACUAAGGAGUUUAACCAGAACAAGCAACGAGAAUAUCAUAGAGACACCAACAGCCUGAAGAUCCAUUGGACACGCCUAAGCAAAAUGAUAAAUGAAUUCAAUGGUUAUUGGAUUUCAGUUUGUAAAAUGAAUAAGAGUGGAUACUCCGACGACCAACUGAUGGAUGAAGCACAAAAGAGGUAUGAGAAAAAGAAUGAAAAACAUUUCACAUUGAUCCACUGGUGGAAGAUUCUAAAAGAUGAACCGAAAUGGUGCACAUUUGUUGCUCAAUCAGAGAAAGAUAAAAGCAAAAAAAGCAGCCAAGCCAUAGAUGGUGAUGACAUAGCUGAACAACGUCCUAUUGGGAGGGAAUCAGCCAAGCAAGAACGCAGAGGGAAGAGGAAGGUAGAUCAGGUUAUGGACGGUAUUGAAAUCCUUGGAGAAAAUAUAAAUAAAAUUGUUGAAGUUACGCAAGAGCGUAAGAAGGAGCGUGAACAAACGACAGAGGCACAACUUGAGAUCUCUACGAUGAAUUUGCAGACUGCAAAAGAGCAUAAGGAAGCAAAGUUACUCGAAGCUUAUACUUCUUUGCUGGCUCGGGAUACAAGUCAGAUGUCGGCCGAAGAGAAGAUUAGCCAUGGCAAGACAUUGCUCAAGAUGGAGAAGAUGAUUUUUCAAAAUGAUUGAGGAGCAUCUGUGCAAGGAUAUCAAUUGGGAGGCUUGUGCUUUUGGUCAGUUAUUUUGGAAGGCUGCAAUAUAGUGGAAAUUAAGUAUUAUUUUUCAGUUAUUUUGGUGUGAAACUGCUCCAUUAGAAUGUGAACUGUUGCUUUCAGACUGAAGCUCCUUUCGGCUUCAUCUUUAUUAUGUGAAUGUGAACUGGUAGUCCUUUCUUUAUUAUGUGAAUGUGAACUGGUACUCCUUUCACCUAUAUAUACAUCCAGUACUAGUCCA